UCUGCCUGCAUAAGGCCUACAGCCCAGAGGCAUUCCCACAAGAAGCAUGUCAGAGGGUGAAGCUCAUUGCAGCCUUACAGCCUGAUUGAUUUUCAGUGGUUUACCAAUGCUUUCUGCUUGCGGAGAGGCAGGGUGAGGAGGAAGGUGCCACUUUAGCCCGGACAGGAAUUGAGGUCUCAAGUCUGGCAUUAUCCUGAGACAACUGAGCCAAUCAGGGAACCGACAUGAUCAAAAUACACAGUUGAAGGGUAAAGACCCGUGGUGCAGAAAACAACCGUGGUGACAAAGAGAAGUGAGAAGUGCAGCUAAAUUGAGAACUUUUUAUCAAGCAUCUUCCCCGGCUCUGUUUUCAUCCAGGAAUGUUGUGUUACUUGGGACUUCUUCCUCAGCAAAGCUCACAGAGAGUCUGGAAGGAGGAAACUGGAGCACCCGAAGGAAACCCACGCAGACACAGGGAGAACAUGCGAACUCCACACACAGAGAAUCACCUGAGAUCCGUUGAUACUGAAGCAAGUUGAUGUACUGUACGUCUACCAUCAUCCCAAUAUGAAAUCAAUUAAAACUGAUCGGUUUUUAGAAA